rnacentral:rRNA from 1 species
GCAAGUCGAACGAUGAACCACUUCGGUGGGGAUUAGUGGCGAACGGGUGAGUAACACGUGGGCAAUCUGCCCUGCACUCUGGGACAAGCCCUGGAAACGGGGUCUAAUACCGGAUAAUACUCCCGCACUCAUGUGUGGGGGUUAAAAGCUCCGGCGGUGCAGGAUGAGCCCGCGGCCUAUCAGCUUGUUGGUGAGGUAAUGGCUCACCAAGGCGACGACGGGUAGCCGGCCUGAGAGGGCGACCGGCCACACUGGGACUGAGACACGGCCCAGACUCCUACGGGAGGCAGCAGUGGGGAAUAUUGCACAAUGGGCGAAAGCCUGAUGCAGCGACGCCGCGUGAGGGAUGACGGCCUUCGGGUUGUAAACCUCUUUCAGCAGGGAAGAAGCGAAAGUGACGGUACCUGCAGAAGAAGCGCCGGCUAACUACGUGCCAGCAGCCGCGGUAAUACGUAGGGCGCAAGCGUUGUCCGGAAUUAUUGGGCGUAAAGAGCUCGUAGGCGGCUUGUCACGUCGGGUGUGAAAGCCCGGGGCUUAACCCCGGGUCUGCAUUCGAUACGGGCUAGCUAGAGUGUGGUAGGGGAGAUCGGAAUUCCUGGUGUAGCGGUGAAAUGCGCAGAUAUCAGGAGGAACACCGGUGGCGAAGGCGGAUCUCUGGGCCAUUACUGACGCUGAGGAGCGAAAGCGUGGGGAGCGAACAGGAUUAGAUACCCUGGUAGUCCACGCCGU